UUAUAAGUUCAUGCAAAAGGUGGUUUGGAUUAAAUGUCCAAGCCUUAAAAGGGAAGUUCGGUUAAAAGCCGACACGGUCGCGCCACUGUAAGAGUGAGCUGCUUAUGAUAUACCACUAUUUGAUAUUGUUAUGAAGCACAAUAUUGAAUGGGAAGGAAUAAGUUAGCGAUGAACUCGAGUCAGGAGACCUGCCUUUUGUACGCACUAGUA
rnacentral:ncRNA from 2 species